rnacentral:rRNA from 1 species
UACAGAGGUCUCAACCGUUGUUCGGAUUCAUUGGGCGUAAAGGGCGCGUAGGCUGCGGGGUAAGUCGGGUGUGAAAUCUCAGGGCUCAACCCUGAAACUGCACUCGAUACUGCUCUGCUUGAGGACUGGAGAGGAGACUGGAAUUCACGGUGUAGCAGUGAAAUGCGUAGAUAUCGUGAGGAAGACCAGUGGCGAAGGCGGGUCUCUGGACAGUUCCUGACGCUGAGACGCGAAAGCGUGGGGAGCGAACAGG